AUACGUAGGGGGCAAGCGUUGUCCGGAAUUACUGGGCGUAAAGGGUGCGUAGGCGGUUGCCUAAGUCAGAUGUGAAAUCCCCGGGCUUAACUCGGGUGGUGCAUUUGAAACUGGGUGGCUAGAGUGCAGGAGAGGGAAGCGGAAUUCCUAGUGUAGCGGUGAAAUGCGUAGAUAUUAGGAGGAACACCAGUGGCGAAGGCGGCUUUCUGGACUGUAACUGACGCUGAGGCACGAAAGCGUGGGGAGCAAACAGGAUUAGAUACCCUGGUAGUCCACGCGGUAAACGAUGGAUACUAGGUGUAGGGGGCGUAGAGCCCUCUGUGCCGCAGCUAACGCAAUAAGUAUCCCGCCUGGGGAGUACGGCCGCAAGGUUGA
rnacentral:rRNA from 1 species